AUGAACGCUGGCGGCGUGCCUAAUACAUGCAAGUCGCGCGAACAGACGAGGAGCUUGCUCCUCUGACGUUAGCGGCGGACGGGUGAGUAACACGUGGAUAACCUACCUAUAAGACUGGGAUAACUUCGGGAAACCGGAGCUAAUACCGGAUAAUAUAUUGAACCGCAUGGUUCAAUAGUGAAAGACGGUUUUGCUGUCACUUAUAGAUGGAUCCGCGCCGCAUUAGCUAGUUGGUAAGGUAACGGCUUACCAAGGCAACGAUGCGUAGCCGACCUGAGAGGGUGAUCGGCCACACUGGAACUGAGACACGGUCCAGACUCCUACGGGAGGCAGCAGUAGGGAAUCCUCCGCAAUGGGCGAAAGCCUGACGGAGCAACGCCGCGUGAGUGAUGAAGGUCUUCGGAUCGUAAAACUCUGUUAUUAGGGAAGAACAAAUGUGUAAGUAACUAUGCACGUCUUGACGGUACCUAAUCAGAAAGCCACGGCUAACUACGUG
rnacentral:rRNA from 1 species